AGAGGCACGAUGAGGAGUAAUUAUAGUAGUGGUAUGAGGUUCAUAUAUCGAUGACUAAUAAUUUUAGUCCUUUUCAUUCUGAGUGCCUU